rnacentral:tRNA from 1 species
GAAGGUAUAGCUCAGUUGUUAGAGAGCAUGCUUAACACACAUGAGUCCUGGGUUCAAUUCCAAGUACCUCCA